GGAGUUGUGGCUCAGUGGUAGAGCACUGGCCCCUCACGUGUGAGGGGCUGAGUUCAAUCCUCAGCACCA
rnacentral:tRNA from 1 species